AGGGAGACAGGUGGUGCAUGGUUGUCGUCAGCUCGUGUCGUGAGAUGUUGGGUUAAGUCCCGCAACGAGCGCAACCCCUACGUUUAGUUGCUAACGCGUGAAGGCGAGCACUCUAGACGAACUGCCGUUGACAAAACGGAGGAAGGUGGGGGAUGACGUCAAAUCAUCAUGCCCCUUAUGUUCUGGGCUACACACGUGCUACAAUGGCCGGUACAGACGGACGCAAAGCCGCGAGGUGGAGCAAAUCCUAAAAAGCCGGUCUCAGUUCGGAUUGCAGGCUGCAACUCGACUGCGUGAAGUCGGAAUCGCUAGUAAUCGUGGAUCAGCAUGUCACGGUGAAUACGUUCCCGGGUCUU
rnacentral:rRNA from 1 species